CUCCCUAACCCUUCUGUGAACCUACCUAUCGUUGCUUCGGCGGACUCGCCCCAGCCCGGACGCGGACUGGACCAGCGGCCCGCCGGGGACCUCAAACUCUUGUAUUCCAGCAUCUUCUGAAUACGCCGCAAGGCAAAACAAAUGAAUCAAAACUUUCAACAACGGAUCUCUUGGCUCUGGCAUCGAUGAAGAACGCAGCGAAAUGCGAUAAGUAAUGUGAAUUGCAGAAUCCAGUGAAUCAUCGAAUCUUUGAACGCACAUUGCGCCCGCCAGCAUUCUGGCGGGCAUGCCUGUUCGAGCGUCAUUUCAACCCUCGACCUCCCCUGGGGGAGGUCGGCGUUGGGGACCGGCAGCACACCGCCGGCCCUGAAAUGGAGUGGCGGCCCGUCCGCGGCGACCUCUGCGUAGUAAUACAGCUCGCACCGGAACCCCGACGCGGCCACGCCGUAAAACACCCAACUUCUGAACGUUGACCUCGAAUCAGGUAGGACUACCCGCUGAACUUAAGCAUAUCAAUAAGCGGAGGAAAAGAAACCAACAGGGAUUGCCCCAGUAACGGCGAGUGAAGCGGCAACAGCUCAAAUUUGAAAUCUGGCUCUCAGGGCCCGAGUUGUAAUUUGUAGAGGAUGCUUUUGGCGAGGUGCCUUCCGAGUUCCCUGGAACGGGACGCCACAGAGGGUGAGAGCCCCGUAUGGUCGGACACCGAGCCUCUGUAAAGCUCCUUCGACGAGUCGAGUAGUUUGGGAAUGCUGCUCAAAAUGGGAGGUAUAUGUCUUCUAAAGCUAAAUAUUGGCCAGAGACCGAUAGCGCACAAGUAGAGUGAUCGAAAGAUGAAAAGCACUUUGAAAAGAGGGUUAAAAAGUACGUGAAAUUGUUGAAAGGGAAGCGCUUAUGACCAGACUUGCGCCCGGUGAAUCACCCAGCGUUCUCGCUGGUGCACUUUGCCGGGCACAGGCCAGCAUCAGUUCAGCGCGGGGGAGAAAGGCUUCGGGAAUGUGGCUCCCUCGGGAGUGUUAUAGCCCGCUGCGUAAUGCCCUGCGCCGGACUGAGGUACGCG
rnacentral:rRNA from 1 species